AGGGAGUCCCUCCCUCUAAAAGCACUCUGUGUGGGGAACAUGAGAGCCAGACCAAAGCUCAGAGGAACCCACCUGGACCUCCACCCAGCUCUGUGUCCUUACACAGUGACUGGUCUGAAGAUCGUCCCAUUCAUUUUAAAGUCCAGCCUGUGUCUGCUGCAGAGAGGAACCCACCUGGACCUCCACCCAGCUCUGUGUCCUUAAGCAGUGACUGGUCUGAAGAUCGUCCCAUUCAUUUUAAAGUCCAGCAGGUGUCUGCUGCAGAGAGGAUCAAAGGGAGACCUGUCAAACCUGAACCCAGCUCUGUGUCCUUACAGAGUGACCGGUCUAAAGGUCUUCCCGUUUAUUUUAAAGUGCAGCCUGUGUCUGCUGCAGAGAGAGUGGACCAGCAGAGCUCAGAGGUUCCCAGUGGUCAGUCUGCCCAGCAGCAUCAAACACAG